GUCUUUUUGAUUUAUAUAUAAAGUCUGACCUGCCCACUGAAAAUUUUAAAUGGCUGCAGUAAUUUGACUGUACAAAGGUAGCAUAAUCAUUAGUUUUUUAAUUAAAAGCUUGUAUGAAAGGUUGGACGAAGUAAAAUCUGUCUCUUUUUAAUAUAAUUAGAAUUUAAUUUUUAAGUAAAAAAGCUUAAAUUUUUAUAAAAGACGAGAAGACCCUAUAGAGUUUAAUAAUUUUAAUAAAAUAUUUAAUUAAGAUUUAUUAAUUUUAUUUAAUUAAAAUUAUUUUAUUGGGGUAAUAAAAAGAUUAAAAAAAUUCUUUUUUUUUAAUACAUUAAUUUAUGAAUAUAUGAUCCAUUUGUAAUGAUUAAAAGAUUAAAUUACCUUAGGGAUAACAGCGUAAUUUUUUUAAAGAGUUCUUAUCGAUAAAAAAGUUUGCGACCUCGAUGUUGGAUUAAAGAUUAAUUUAGGUGUAGAAGUUUAAAUUUUUGGUCUGUUCGACCAUUAAAUCUUUACAUGAUCUGAGUUCAAACCGGUGUAAGCCAGGUUGGUUUCUAUCUUUAUUAAUUUUUUAUAUUUUAGUACGAAAGGACCAAAUAUAAAAUAUAUAAAUAUUUUUAUUUUGAAUAUUAUU
rnacentral:rRNA from 1 species